rnacentral:rRNA from 1 species
GAUGAGCGCUGGCGGCGUGCCUAAUACAUGCCAGUCGAGCGAACAGAUGAGGAGCUUGCUCCUCUGACGUUAGCGGCGGACGGGUGAGUAACACGUGGAUAACCUACCUAUAAGACUGGGAUAACUUCGGGAAACCGGAGCUAAUACCGGAUAAUAUAUUGAACCGCAUGGUUCAAUAGUGAAAGACGGUUUUGCUGUCACUUAUAGAUGGAUCCGCGCCGCAUUAGCUAGUUGGUAAGGUAACGGCUUACCAAGGCAACGAUGCGUAGCCGACCUGAGAGGGUGAUCGGCCACACUGGAACUGAGACACGGUCCAGACUCCUACGGGAGGCAGCAGUAGGGAAUCUUCCGCAAUGGGCGAAAGCCUGACGGAGCAACGCCGCGUGAGUGAUGAAGGUCUUCGGAUCGUAAAACUCUGUUAUUAGGGAAGAACAAAUGUGUAAGUAACUAUGCACGUCUUGACGGUACCUAAUCAGAAAGCCACGGCUAACUACGUG